AGUAAACUUUUUGGAAGACGAGAUCACGGCAAUGGUAGAGGAGAUUGAAGACAGGCAACACGUAUUGUUCUGUGGACUAAAUAGUGGGUUGACAAACAAAGCCGAACAGGUAGCUUGCGAGUGUGUCGCCGCUGCAGUGAACGAGGUGGGGCAGCAAGACAGAACUGUGGCUGGUGUGAAAGACCUGGCACUCCAGAGUUCUCCCAAAUGGACCAGCGCAUCGGGGAAAUCAUUGGGGAAAGCGCAUACACUGGCGCAUGCGCCGACCACGACAGUGAAUGUUUAAAAAAAGCAGUAACAUUGGAAACGGUGAAGUCGGUGCGCGAAACCCCAACCACUGCAUCACUGGAUCACGAAACGGGGGAAGCCCAUGCGCCCUCCACCCAGGGAUAAAGUGGGUGAGGCUCCCAAAGCAGCAGGUGCCAGGAGUGAGGGCGGAGGUUUGGCCACAGGUGUCAAGGGCCGUCCAUGUCUGCGUCCGUGCGCCAGGAUGAAGUCCGUGAGGCCCCAGUUCCCAAUCGUCGCAGACCCGCAGGUGCCAGGGGUGUGUUUGGCCACAGGUGUCGAGGGUUUCAUCGACGUCUGUGUCCACGUCUACAGUUCGCGUGUU